UUGCAACAAAUAAAGGUGGAGGGCACACGCCGGAAUUCAUGGCAUACGAAAGCGACGUAAUGUUUGGGAGAUGGAUAGCGGGAGAAUCUUUAUAAAAUAGAUA